rnacentral:lncRNA from 1 species
CGCCAUUUACCCUUUCUUCCUUCUUAACCUAACCUAAGACAAAGCAGCAGCAGUAAAGGAAAGAAAAAGAGAGGGAAAAGGGAUGGCAGAGAGAAAGAGAGAAACGAGGGGGAAGAAGAGAAGAGGAAGGUUGCGCCGGCGCCACUGGGUCCCGCCACCGCCGCUCGUGUCCCGCUGCGUCACCAUCUCGCCGCAUCUAGCUUGCCACCGAUUUGUCCCCGAACCGCCGUCGAGGAAGGAGAGAAAGCAAGAGUGAGGGAGCUAUUCUGUCGCUGAGAAGAGAGACAACGUGUGAGAGGGAGAUCUCUGGCGCCGUCCUCGUCUGAACCGCCGCUGAGGGAAAUCGUCGUCGUUGAAGCCAGCCACCUUCAUCGCCGUUCAUGCCGUCACCACUCCUCGCCACUGCCGAGCCAUCGUCGGACUGUGCACCGCCACGCAAGGCCGUUCCUAGUUGGCGCCGUGGCUGGUGGUUGCCUCUGCUUUCGAUGUAAGCACCACGUCGGAGCGUCACCGGAGCUGCGGCUGCCCCACCGCCGCCUCUGCUGCCGAAAACCGCCGCCUCUCUGAAUCCUCUGUUGGUAAGCCCUAAUCCUGCUUCAGUUUCUUUAUCCGUUAAGUUUACCUUUACCGUGAGAGUUGUUGCUGAGAUUGUCUGUGCCAGGUUAUACGGUCACUGUGAGUCUCUUUGCCGCCAUCCAAGCUGCCAUCAGAAGGAUCCACCACAGCCUCCUCUGUUCUUGUCUUCAAAUUAGCACUGCCUUUUUCUAGUUUCAAUCGCAAUUCUGCUAUUUCUGAAUAUGUAACUCCUCAACCCUUACUCUGCUUCCAUUUUGGUUUCUUAGACUUUUUCUAUUCUGAGUAAGAAAAAUCUAUGUUUCUGUUUAACACUACUGUUCUGCCUUCCCUGUUUGCUGAUGGAAUUAUCAUAGGUGACAGUGUUAAUGGUACUAACGAGCUAUUAGAGUUGCUGCCUCUACUGAAAUUAACAAAAAAAGGAUUCAACGCGUUUAAUUAUGCGGAUUGCGAAUAAUUGAGGUAGGAUUUUUUCUUAAAAUCUAUUUUACAUUACAGAGUUGUGAUAAAUAGAUAUUGAUGCAAAAAGAUAUAUUUCUGUGAUUAUAUUUGUCUUGUGGAUGUGAUGGUUUGUUGAACUGGAUUAUUGGGUGCUUGAUUGCUUGAGUGAAGUACGGUUGUUGAUAAGAAGUGGAUUUGAAAAGUUAUUUACUUGAUUAUUAGGAAAAGUGGUUUUUCUUGGUUUGAAGUUAGAGCAGUUUGAUUUUGAGUCGGUCUGAUUUUAUAAAUGAUUUAAUACUUGAGCUGGUUUGACUUUAAAAAGAGUUUUAUUAUUGGAAUUGGUCUAGUUUGAAAAUAAUUUGAUAGUGGAAUUGGUUGAAUUUUGGAAAGUGAUUGAGAUUUGGAAAUGGUUUGAGAAAUGUUUGGAUGGGACCCGAAAAGGGUGGCAGUAUCCGAGUUUUAAAGGAGAUGCUGCCGAAAUUUUAUAAAAUUAGGAGUUUCAUUGAAAAUAGUUAUUUUAAAAAGGUUUAAGUAUUAUAUGAUUUAAAACUACCUCAUUUAUCAAAGGAAGAGUUAUGUUUUGGAUUGGGAAUUGUUAGUGAACGGAAUGGAAAGAAGGAUGAUUGAGAAUUUUCUCUGAAAUAUGGUAUUUGAAUGAAUUUAGAAAUGAGAUUUGGAUUGAUGAAUGAUUAUGAUGUUGAGAAUGUUGAGAAUGUUCAGAUAUGAUCUUUGAAUUAUUCAUAUGGCUUAUGAAUUUGAAAUAUCUGAGAUACGAGGUUCCCUGGAUUAAGUGCCGUGGCUUGCCACCACGUGUACCAGGUUGUAAACUCGAUACUCUAUUGACCCUAUGACAUAAGUGUGACCGGGCACUAUAUAAAUUCCCGAAAAUGUUACCUCCAUUGAGCAAUAUUGAUUAUUUGAGAAAAAGCUAUGCAUAGACUCUUGGGGAUGCACGUCAGGAGACAGUCUAAGGACAGUUCAGACUUGUCGGGUUGGCUGGAUAACCGACAGAUGAGCCUCAUCAGCCAUAGGACAGGCAUGCAUUAUAUGCAUCUGUAUGCUUUGCUUGGGUUUGAACUUGUUUUGGUUUGCCUAAUUGCUAAACUGUUCUUAACUGCUACUUGAACUAUUUGUUGUAACUGCUUCCUACUUGUGCUUUCCUUGUCUGUCUUGCCUGUGUUUGUCCUGGCGUGUUACAUUUGAGAAUGGACUUGGGUGCUGAAUUAAUGAUUGUGUUGUUUGAUUGCGUGGUUAGUUUCUGAUUGAGAUUUGCUUAUGAGAAAAGAAAGACUUUGGAUUUCUGAAAAUAUUAAACAUUGUUUCUUUGAAAAGGUUUUGAACGAUUAGCUGUUGGAUUUUAAAAGGAUUCAUAAGGCAAUGAUAAUCACUGAAUUUGAAAACAGUUUUCUUAUUGAAUAUCUUCUUAUGACAACUUUGAAACUCCGUGGUGAGACCAUGUGGUUAGGUUCUCACCCCCUACAGCUUUACCUUUUCAGGAACCAGAUGAAGAAGCAUUAAGAAGAGUUACACUACGUUUGGUUUAUAUGUUGUUGUAUUAAUUAGAUUAUUUUCUCCCCUCGUCUUUGUUAUUACAAGUUUGUAAGAGGGAUAGGAAUUGUAUGUUUUAUACGUAUAUUAUAUUGAGUUAUUAUGUAAGGAGUCUUGUAUAUAAAUCUAUGCUUGCUUGUAUUUUUCUUAAAAUAAAGUAUUUAUUUCCGGUUUUCAAAGAAAUCAGCGAUACAGUAUCGAGUCACAGGCUCCUAUUCUAGUAUUUAGUAUGUAAAGUAGUCGUAAUACUUCUUGCUAUCAGAGUAGCGCAGUCGGAAG